UAUAGAUGGUUAAUAGAAGAUAUGUUUCCUGUGUCACAAUAAAUAACACUUUUUCUCCUCCAUAUUUAGGCUUCAGCUUAUAAUGUUUCUUGAUUGAAUCAUUUGCUGGACUUCAUGUGACUUCAUAGAUAAAACUAGUCUUGCUGAGAGGAGCUCUGCCGGAACACCAUGCCUUUGGAGUGAAGGGCCUGCUCAGCGAUCUCCCUUCUAACCUUGCAGAGAGGCUACGGGGAAUCAGGGGCUGCUGGCAAAUUGUCGGAGCACUUUUCUGUAUCCUAGGGAUACUGAGGACGUUUUCUGUUGUUGCUUUUGUUUUGUUUUUUUCCAGGCCAAAUUGCAGAAUAUGUUUUACUCCUUUAUUUAUUUUGAGUUGGCAGUAUGAUCACAGUUUACUUAACUUCGCCAUCUAGUGCCCAAGUUCACAAC
rnacentral:lncRNA from 1 species